AGUGAACGCUGGCGGUAGGCCUAACACAUGCAAGUCGAACGGCAGCACAGUAAGAGCUUGCUCUUACGGGUGGCGAGUGGCGGACGGGUGAGGAGUACAUCGGAAUCUACUUUUUCGUGGGGGAUAACGUAGGGAAACUUACGCUAAUACCGCAUACGACCUACGGGUGAAAGCAGGGGAUCUUCGGACCUUGCGCGAUUGAAUGAGCCGAUGUCGGAUUAGCUAGUUGGCGGGGUAAAGGCCCACCAAGGCGACGAUCCGUAGCUGGGCUGAGAGGAUGAUCAGCCACACUGGAACUGAGACACGGUCCAGACUCCUACGGGAGGCAGCAGUGGGGAAUAUUGGACAAUGGGCGCAAGCCUGAUCCAGCCAUACCGCGUGGGUGAAGAAGGCCUUCGGGUUGUAAAGCCCUUUUGUUGGGAAAGAAAAGCAGCAGGUUAAUACCCCGCUGUUCUGACGGUACCCAAAGAAUAAGCACCGGCUAACUUCGUG
rnacentral:rRNA from 1 species